rnacentral:misc_RNA from 1 species
GAUGAAGAACGUAGCGAAAUGCGAUACGUAAUGUGAAUUGCAGAAUUCAGUGAAUCAUCGAGUCUUUGAACGCACAUUGCGCCCCCUGGUAUUCCGGGGGGCAUGCCUGUCCGAGCGUCAUUGCUGCCCUCAAGCACGGCUUGUGUGUUGGGCCUCCGUCCUCCUCCCGGGGGACGGGCCCGAAAGGCAGCGGCGGCACCGCGUCCGGUCCUCGAGCGUAUGGGGCUUCGUCACCCGCUCUUGUAGGCCCGGCCGGCGCUUGCCGACACAUCAAUCUUUUUUCCAGGUUGACCUCAGAUCAGGUGGGACUACCCGCUGAACUUAAGCAUAUCAAUAAGCGGAGGA